CACGUGAGGCGCAAGCGUUGUCCGGAAUUAUUGGGCGUAAAGAGCUCGUAGGCGGUCUGUUGCGUCCGCUGUGAAAACUCGGGGCUUAACCCCGAGCCUGCAGUGGAUACGGGCAGACUAGAGGUAGGUAGGGGAGAAUGGAAUUCCCGGUGUAGCGGUGAAAUGCGCAGAUAUCGGAGGAACACCGGUGGCGAAGGCGGUUCUCUGGGCCUUACCUG
rnacentral:rRNA from 1 species